CUGUUGCUAGAUUUAUGUCAUAUCUAAAACAGAUCCACAUGGAUGAUAUUAUUUUGAUCAUUAAAAGUUUAAUUAGGAUUAAUUUUGAUAUUUUUACUGGUGCCUUUGCUAUUUAAUAUUAACAAGUUAUUAAGCAUAUAGGAAUUUUCAUAGAUACAGUAUUGCCAAACUUGAUCCAUUAUAGCCCACGGAUAGUGCAAUCAUAAAAGAUUCCCAAAAGGUGAUCCAUAUCCAUUACUACAUUAGUUUCAUAUGUAAAAAGGAAAUAUACUAAAUAAUUAUAUUAAUUUGAUAAAAGAUAUGUAUGAUAUAAUGAUUUGUAGUAUUAGGAUUGUACGUUAGUAAUAAACAAAUGUUCUUGUCAUAGGUGGAAAAUAUCCCCAUGAUUUAUGUUAUGUCAUGCAUCGCAUUUUAGGUUAAGAAGAAUCAUGACCAAAUACAUGAAAUAUAAUCUUUGAAAUACUAUUAAAAAAUAAGGAUGUAUUUUAAAUAGAUGAAUAAAAAAAUAUUGUAAUAUUUUAGUUAUCUUGGAUGCAUCAUUCGACAAAAAAAAAAAAUAAUAUUUUUAAAAGUGCUGGGAUUAAAAAAUUAAUAUUUUUCGAAGGUUAGAAAUAAGAUUUAAUAAAAUAAAAGAUUAAAAAAUAAAUAAAUAUUGCUCUAAUAGAGAAUAAAAUGAAAAAAAUAUAUCAUGUAACAAAAUAUUCAAAGAAAACUAGUAUUUAUUGUGGUUAGAUGAUGCAAGUUGAUUAGGAUUAAUAAGGUGAGAAGAGUGAGUUCACUAGGAACAAUAAAAAAAAAUUAUUUAUAUAGAGUUCAACAAUUCGAAGGAAAAAUAAGGUUGUUAUAUAGAGGUGAGGUAAUAAUGACGAGACUCCCAUGAGUCUUUCUUGACUACUCCAACCCUAGAGUUGGUGAAAAACUUUCAAAUCAUGUAGUAAAUCAAGAUAACUAUACGCAAACGAUUGAGGGUUAGUGACCAAUGAUUGUAUUAUAGGCGAAUAAAAUAUCGAAUGACUAGAAAUUUUAUCUUCAUAAUUUUAGAGAAAUCAUCAAAUCCAAAAGUAAUAUACAAAUCUAGGGAGUUAUGGAAUCUCACUAAAGCCAAUGAGUAUAGAGGAGAUCAGUUGGAAGUCAUUUACGCUUAACCCCGAUCUUUAAGAAAGCAUCAUAGUAUAUGAUAUGUUGGCAGAACUUCCCGUGUCUACUAAAAUUCUUUUUAUCAUUACAUUGGUGAUCUUGAGGUGACCACCAUAGCAUCAUUAUGAUGAGGAUCAAUGUGCUCAAUCUCUUCUUCCUUAAACACAAUCGGAGGAUCUCCUAAGGGGCAAAAUCUUUUAUAUGGAGGGUCCCUGACAUAAUUAUUUUUGGAUGUGGAAUUGGUUCUCUAAAUAUGGGUCCACCUAACACUCAAUUGAGCUUUGCGGGAAAGGCUCUCGCACCUUAUGUAAGUAAUGAUUAAGCUUCCCCUUCUAGAUGAGCUCCUUGAUCUAUAAUUUUAAAUCAUAAUAAUCUUUUGUGUCAUGCCCAUAAUCUUGAUAUGAGUAAUAGUAUUUUGAAUGGCUUAGACGAGUUGAAGGAUCCCGUUAAGAGUGGCGGGUGUGAAGAAACCUCUUCUCUUUUAUCUGCACGAACACUUCGGUAUGCAACGUAUUUAGUGGCGUAAAAUCUCUACAAGGGGGUGCCCAAUCAAGCCUUGGUUUGUCAUUAUAGGGGGCACUCCAAAUUGCCCACUCAUGAACUCCUCUCCUUGAGACUUUCUUAGGUUCAGAGUUCCUUUUUCCUAUAAUUAUGGAUUAUACUAUGAUAUAACGAUUGGUCUCCUGCAGGAGCUCUAGAAAAAUGGUCAGCAGUUGUAUGAUAACUAAAUAAAAGAACUUCAAAAGUUGAUAAUUGUCGAUAUAAGCGUUAAUCAGAACAGAUGGAUUUAGGUGAGCCACCGGUCUAACUUCAUCAUGAAAUCUUUUUGUAUAACUAGCGAGGAACUCCUUGUUCAUUUGUUGAAAUUCUAAGAGCAAGAUAGUUGGUUUCUCUUAGAAAUAGUUGGUUUCUUUAGUAUCUUAUAGCAAAUAAAAUUAAACUAAAUCUCUUUUACUAGUUAUCCAAAAGAUGAGAUGAAUUUAGGUGAAAACUUUGAAAACCAUUUCCUUGCUACACCGCUAAGAGUGGUUGGAAAAGUUUAGCACAUAAAAGAGUUGCCACCUAAAAUAAUGUCAGCCUUGGAAGUUGGAAUAGACUCUUCCAUGCUCUUGACAAUUGGGGACUUAAGAUAGGUGUCAAUUUCAGGUUACUUUUCCUGUCUUAUAUCUCUUUUAAUAUUCUCGAGCCAUUGACCUUAGCAUCCUAGUCUGGUUGAGGAGGUGGAACUUUUAGGGGGUGAAUUAGAGAGCAAAUUUCUGGUUGUGGCUCGACCAUCGGUGGGCCUGACUCUGCCAUCAUGCUAGGGGUAAGGAUGAGUGGAAGCACUAGAGUAAGGAAAUGAGGGGUAUGGGGAUUUUAAUGUGUUCCUUACUACAAUAAUUAGGUUCGUUAGGAGAGAUAUAGAGCAAGAGACUAGAAUACCCCUAUCAAGAACUAGACUUGCUAAGUUAGACUAUAAAACGUACUAAUAGGAAUGGUGAUAGUUUGGGCAAAUGGAGCUGCAGGUUGGAAAAGAGGUGGGUUAAUUGGUGGAUCCUAGAAUAGUCAGCAAAAAAGUUGGCAAUUAGAAAGUUAUAGGAUAGGAGUAUGAUCAAACCCUUGGAGAACCGAAACCAAGGGGUUUGAUAAAGGAGCAUUCGACGCCAUCGAGCUCGGCCCUCUUGGAUCGUUAAGUAUAUUUAAUUGGUUAGCCUCAUCCGAGUUUGACUUUAAUGGUCUCGUAAAAUUUUCUCGAGACAUGCUUAGCAUCCCUCCUUCUAAUACUAAUCUAUUAAGUCAGAUUUUGAUUGUCCAAGUUGGAGAGAUGAGUCAAAUCCAACUAAGGCUUAUUCCAAGAUUAUCUAGUUUUUUACUUAAGAUUCGAUGAUGCAUAAUCUUGCAAGACUAAGUUAGGGAUAUUUUCGAAAAUGAUUUUUUCGAUAAUCAAAUCAGUUCCCAAGGUUAAAAAGCCUAAGACUAUUCAGAUCAAACGGAUUGGGCAAAUUAAUCAACAAGACAAAAAAGGUGAAUUUUCAAAAUGUAUAUCUUGGGAGUCUCUUUUAUAAGUGGUUUGGGAAUCAUUACAUUCAAGAUCAUUGGGCAUUAAGAAACCAUGUAUGAUUAAUUAAGUUUAUAUGUCUUCCAAUUCGACUAUCACUUGUCGAUAGAACGAUAAGUUAUUAGGAGGAUCAACUUGUUAACUAGGUUUUGACUUGUCAAUGUCUUCCAAACAUAACAUGUACCUUAAUCUAUAUUAAGUGGAUUGGGUUGAUUUAAGAGUUUAGUAAUCAAUUAUCGGCUUAAAUUCAGGUAUAUCAUAUUAAAAUUAGAUUAGACUCAAAUUUGGUUCAUUAUCCAAACACUAAAAUGCUUUAGCAGCUUAAAUCAUUUUCAAUCAUAUCGUUAGAACACACUGCAUCAUCUCUUUAUAGUGUAAUAAAAAUAAUAACCAAAAUUCUGAUCCAAAAUAAUUUUCUUACAGGGGACAUCAUUGCACCAAUAGAAAAUAAAAAUAAGAAAUAGCUUAUCCCAGCAUGUAACAACUGCUUCAAUGCAAUCAUAUAUAUAUAUAUAUAUGUAUAUAUAUAUAUAUAUAUGUAUGUAUGUAUGUAUAUAUAUAUAUAUAUAUGUAUGUAUGUAUGUAUGUAUGUAUAUAUAUGAUCUGUAGGGAGCCGGAGAGCCGAGGAGCACGACGCAGGCGGGCAGGCCGCGCAGGCGUGGUCUCGGGUGGCGUAAAGCCGGAGAGCCGAGGAGCACGACGCAGGCGGGCAGGCCGCGCAGGUGUGGUCUCGGGUGGCGUAAAGCCGGAGAGCCGAGGCAGGCCGCGCAGGUGUGGUCUCGGGUGGCGUAAAGCCGGAGAGCCGAGGAGCACGAUGCAGGCGGGCCGCGCAGGCGUGGUCUCGGGUGGCGUAAAGCCGAAGAGCACGGUGCAGGCGGGCAGGCCGCGCAGGCGUGGUCUCGGGUGGCGUAAAGCCGAAGAGCCGAGGAGCACGACGCAGGCGGGCCGCGCAGGCGUGGUCUCGGGUGGCGUAAAGCCGGAGAGCCGAGGAGCACGAUGCAGGCGGGCAGGCCGCGCAGGCGUGGUCUCGGGUGGCGUAAAGCCGGAGAGCCGAGGAGCAUGACGCAGGCGGGCAGGCCGCGCAGGCGUGGUCUCGGGUGGCGUAAAGCCGGAGAGUCGAGGAGCACGACGCAGGCGGGCAGGCCGCGCAGGCGUGGUCUCGGGUGGCGUAAAGCCGGAGAGCCGAGGAGCACAACGCAGGCGGGCAGGCCGCGCAGGCGUGGUCUCGGGUGGCGUAAAGCCGGAGAGCCGAGUAGCACGACGCAGGCGGGCAGGCCGCGCAGGCAUGGUCUCGGGUGGCGUAAAGCCGGAGAGCCGAGGCAUUCGGCGCAGGCAGGCUGCGACCGAGGGGUUGCUGCUCAGGCGGGCAGGCCGCGCUGAGGUGGGCUCGGCGCAGGCAGGCUGCGCAAGGGGCCGAGGUAGCGUAGUGCUUGCUGCGCAUGGGGCUCAGGGGCCGAGGCAGCGUGUUGGCUGAGCAUGAGGCCGAGUGGCCGAGGCAGCGAGGCCGCUUGCUGGCUGCGAACGAGGCCGAGGGGCCGAGGCAGCGUGUUGGCUGCGCAUGAGGCCGAGUGGCCGAGGCAGCGAGGCUGCGUGCUGGCUGCGCACGAGGCCGAGUGGCCGAGGCAGCGAGGCAGCAAGGCAGCGUGUUUGCAUGAGGCCGAGUGGCCGAGGCAGCGAGGCUGCUUGCUGGCUGCGCAUGGGCCAAGUCUCUCAAACGACGCCAUAUCUCUCCUUAUGCAUGGGCCAAGUCUCUCAGGCGACGCCAUAUCUCUCUUUAUGCAUGCUGUGGCCGAGGAGCUACUUGUGCAUGCAUAGAGGAAGUCUCGGGCAAGCCAUGGCCGAGGAGGUCUCGGGUAGGCUGUGGCCGAGGAGCUCUCGGGCAUGCUAUGGCCGAGGAGGUCUCGGGUAGACUGUGGCCGAGGUGUUCGGCGCGGGCAGGCUGGUCGCGCGCGUGGGACCGAGGGGUCGAGGCGCUUGUGGCCGAGCAGCCGAGACGCGCGGGCUGGUCGCGCGCGUGGGACCGAGGAGCCGAGGCGCGCGGGAUGGCCGCGCGCGUGGGGCCGAGUGGCCGAGACGCUCGGCGCGGUCGGGCUGGCCGCGCGCAUGGGACGCGGGCGGUUUGGCCGCGCGCGUGGGACGCGGGCGGUUUGGCCGCGCGUGAGGCGUGCGGGUUAGCCGCGCGUGAGGCGUGCGGGUUGGCCGCGCGCGUGGGACCGAGGGGCCCAGGCGGUGGGAUGGCCGCGCGCGUGGGGCCGAGUGGCCGAGACGCUCGGCGCGUUCGGGCUGGCCGCGCGCGUGGGACGCGGGCGGUUUGGCCGCGCGUGAGGCGCGCGGGUUGGCGCGACCCACGCAUCCCUUGCUUGCUUGCUUGCUUGACGAAAGCGCGAAGCAGAGCUACGGGACGGACCCCACGUCUGGAGGAAAUGGACCAUAAAUGUAAGGCUGUGGAGAGGAGAAAGACAUCUCAGAGUGCGAGAACGAGCAGUGUCAGUGGUGAAGAAAAGAAGAAGGGAAGAAGAUUACGGUGCUAUUAUGCUCUUCGUCUCCGAUCUUCCUCGCUCGAGCCUCUUCGCACCCUCGAAAGGACUCAAGAAGUCAUGUGCUUGCAAAGUUGCAGUCAGCACUGGUGGCAAAUUCAUCUAUACGAUUUUCUGUUAAGUACCCUUUCUGCUGCCCGCAUAGGUUGUCCAUAAAUUUGAAG